UGAGCACCCAAACCCAAGGGCUGCCGUUCUUCAGUGCGGUGGCUUAAAGGGAGGUGCUGACAGCAAGUGCAUCUCUGUCGCCUUUGUGGGGCUGGGCGGUGCCCCUCAGAGUGAAUUUAGAGGUUCUACAUGG